GACGAACGUUGGCGGCGUGCCUAAUACAUGCAAGUCAACUGAAAUACCGGUAGCAAUACUGGUAUGGAGGUGGCGCACGGGUGAGUAACACGUAGGUAAUCUGCCUUCAGGUCUGACAUAACCCAUCGAAAGGUGAGCUAAUAUCAGAUGAUGCAGCGGCUUGACAUCAAGACAGUUGUUAAAGCUUCGGCGCCUGAAGAUGAGCCUGCGUCUGAUUAGCUAGUU
rnacentral:rRNA from 1 species